rnacentral:rRNA from 1 species
UAAGGGCGCACGGUGGAUGCCUUGGCACUAGAAGCCGAUGAAGGACGUUACUAACGACGAUAUGCUUUGGGGAGCUGUAAGUAAGCUUUGAUCCAGAGAUUUCCGAAUGGGGAAACCCAGCAUGAGUUAUGUCAUGUUAUCGAUAUGUGAAUACAUAGCAUAUCAGAAGGCACACCCGGAGAACUGAAACAUCUUAGUACCCGGAGGAAGAGAAAGAAAAUUCGAUUCCCUUAGUAGCGGCGAGCGAAACGGGAAGAGCCCAAACCAACAAGCUUGCUUGUUGGGGUUGUAGGACACUCUAUACGGAGUUACAAAGGACGACAUUAGACGAAUCAUCUGGAAAGAUGAAUCAAAGAAGGUAAUAAUCCUGUAGUCGAAAAUGUUGUCUCUCUUGAGUGGAUCCUGAGUACGACGGAGCACGUGAAAUUCCGUCGGAAUCUGGGAGGACCAUCUCCUAAGGCUAAAUACUCUCUAGUGACCGAUAGUGAACCAGUACCGUGAGGGAAAGGUGAAAAGCACCCCGGAAGGGGAGUGAAAUAGAACCUGAAACCGUGUGCUUACAAGUAGUCAGAGCCCGUUAAUGGGUGAUGGCGUGCCUUUUGUAGAAUGAACCGGCGAGUUACGAUUUGAUGCAAGGUUAAGCAGUAAAUGUGGAGCCGUAGCGAAAGCGAGUCUGAAUAGGGCGUUUAGUAUUUGGUCGUAGACCCGAAACCAGGUGAUCUACCCUUGGUCAGGUUGAAGUUCAGGUAACACUGAAUGGAGGACCGAACCGACUUACGUUGAAAAGUGAGCGGAUGAACUGAGGGUAGCGGAGAAAUUCCAAUCGAACCUGGAGAUAGCUGGUUCUCUCCGAAAUAGCUUUAGGGCUAGCCUCAAGUGAUGAUUAUUGGAGGUAGAGCACUGUUUGGACGAGGGGCCCCUCUCGGGUUACCGAAUUCAGACAAACUCCGAAUGCCAAUUAAUU